rnacentral:rRNA from 1 species
AGCGAACGCUGGCGGCAGGCUUAACACAUGCAAGUCGAGCGGACCUUUCGGGGUCAGCGGCGGACGGGUGAGUAACGCGUGGGAACGUGCCUUCCGGUUCGGAAUAACCCUGGGAAACUAGGGCUAAUACCGGAUAGGCCCUUAUGGGGAAAGGUUUACUGCCGGAAGAUCGGCCCGCGUCUGAUUAGCUAGUGGGUGGGGUAACGGCCUACCAAGGCGACGAUCAGUAGCUGGUCUGAGAGGAUGAUCAGCCACACUGGGACUGAGACACGGCCCAGACUCCUACGGGAGGCAGCAGUGUGGAAUAUUGGACAAUGGGCGCAAGCCUGAUCCAGCCAUGCCGCGUGAGUGAUGAAGGCCUUAGGGUUGUAAAGCUCUUUUAUCCGGGACGAUAAUGACGGUACCGGAGGAAUAAGCCCCGGCUAACUUCGUG